rnacentral:rRNA from 1 species
GAUGAACGCUGGCGGCGUGCCUAAUACAUGCAAGUCGAGCGAACAGACGAGGAGCUUGCUCCUCUGACGUUAGCGGCGGACGGGUGAGUAACACGUGGAUAACCUACCUAUAAGACUGGGAUAACUUCGGGAAACCGGAGCUAAUACCGGAUAAUAUAUUGAACCGCAUGGUUCAAUAGUGAAAGACGGUUUUGCUGUCACUUAUAGAUGGAUCCGCGCCGCAUUAGGUAGUUGGUAAGGUAACGGCUUACCAAGGCAACGAUGCGUAGCCGACCUGAGAGGGUGAUCGGCCACACGGGAACUGAGACGCGGUCCAGACUCCUACGGGAGGCAGCAGUAGGGAAUCGUCCGCAAUGGGCGAAAGCCUGACGGAGCAACGCCGCGUGAGUGAUGAAGGUCUUCGGAUCGUAAAACUCUGUUAUUAGGGAAGAACAAAUGUGUAAGUAACUAUGCACGUCUUGACGGUACCUAAUCAGAAAGCCCCGGCUAACUACGUG